rnacentral:rRNA from 1 species
GGCCUACCAUGGUGGUAACGGGUAACGGGGUGUUAGGGCACGACACCGGAGAGGGAGCCUGAGAAACGGCUACCACAUCCAAGGAUGGCAGCAGGCGCGCAAAUUACCCAAUCCCGACACGGGGAGGUAGUGACAAUAAAUAACAAUACGGGGUUCUUUAGGAUCUCGUAAUUGGAAUGAGUACAAUUUAAAUCUCUUAACGAGGAACAAUUGGAGGGCAAGUCUGGUGCCAGCAGCCGCGGUAAUUCCAGCUCCAAUAGCGUAUAUUAAAGUUGUUGCAGUUAAAAAGCUCGUAGUUGAAUUUCGGGGUCAGCAGGUUGGUCGUGCCACUGGCAUGUACUGGCUUCGCUGAUUCCUCCUUUCUGAAGAACUGUAAUGUCAUUAAUUUGGUGUUGCAGGGAAACAGGACUGUUACUUUGAAAAAAUUAGAGUGUUUAAAGCAGGCUAACGCUUGAAUACAUUAGCAUGGAAUAAUGAAAUAGGACGUUCGAUCCUAUUUUGUUGGUUUCUAGGAUUGACGUAAUGAUUAAUAGGGAUAGUUGGGGGCAUUAGUAUUCAAUUGUCAGAGGUGAAAUUCUUGGAUUUAUUGAAGACUAACUACUGCGAAAGCAUUUGCCAAGGAUGUUUUCAUUAAUCAAGAACGAAAGUUAGGGGAUCGAAGACGAUCAGAUACCGUCGUAGUCUUAACCAUAAACUAUGCCGACUAGGGAUCGGAUGAUGUUAAUUUUUUAAUGACUCAUUCGGCGCCUUACG